GAUGAACGCUGGCGGCGUGCCUAAUACAUGCAAGUCGAGCGAACGGACGAGAAUCUUGCUUCUCUGAUGUUAGCGGCGGACGGGUGAGUAACACGUGGAUAACCUACCUAUAAGACUGGGAUAACUUCGGGAAACCGGAGCUAAUACCGGAUAAUAUUUUGAACCUCAUGGUUCAAAAGUGAAAGACGGUCUUGCUGUCACUUAUAGAUGGAUCCGCGCUGCAUUAGCUAGUUGGUAAGGUAACGGCUUACCAAGGCAACGAUGCAUAGCCGGCCUGAGAGGGUGAUCGGCCACACUGGAACUGAGACACGGUCCAGACUCCUACGGGAGGCAGCAGUAGGGAAUCUUCCGCAAUGGGCGAAAGCCUGACGGAGCAACGCCGCGUGAGUGAUGAAGGUCUUCGGAUCGUAAAACUCUGUUAUUAGGGAAGAACAUAUGUGUAAGUAACUGUGCACAUCUUGACGGUACCUAAUCAGAAAGCCACGGCUAACUACGUG
rnacentral:rRNA from 1 species